UACGAAGGGGGCUAGCGUUGCUCGGAAUCACUGGGCGUAAAGCGCACGUAGGCGGAUUGCUAAGUCAGGGGUGAAAUCCUGGAGCUCAACUCCAGAACUGCCUUUGAUACUGGCAACCUUGAGUCCGGGAGAGGUGAGUGGAACUGCGAGUGUAGAGGUGAAAUUCGUAGAUAUUCGGAAGAACACCAGUGGCGAAGGCGGCUCACUGGUCCGGUACUGACGCUGAUGUGCGAAAGCGUGGGGAGCAAACAGG
rnacentral:rRNA from 1 species